rnacentral:rRNA from 1 species
GGUACCGCAUGAAUAAGGACCGGCUAAUUCCGUGCCAGCAGCCGCGGUAAUACGGAAGGUCCGGGCGUUAUCCGGAUUUACUGGGUGUAAAGGGAGCGCAGGCGGGAAAGCAAGUCAGCUGUGAAGACUAUGGGCUUAACCCAUAGACUGCAGUUGAAACUGUUUUUCUUGAGUGGAGUAGAGGUAAGCGGAAUUCCGAGUGUAGCGGUGAAAUGCGUAGAGAUUCGGAGGAACACCAGUGGCGAAGGCGGCUUACUGGGCUCUAACUGACGCUGAGGCUCGAAAGUGUGGGGAGCAAACAGGAUUAGAUACCCUGGUAGUCCACACUGUAAACGAUGAUUACUAGGUGUGGGAGGUCUGACCCCUUCCGUGCCGCAGUUAACGCAAUAAGUAAUCCACCUGGGGAGUACGACCGCAAGGUUGAAACUCAAAGGAAUUGACGGGGGCCCGCACAAGCAGUGGAUUAUGUGGUUUAAUUCGAAGCAACGCGAAGAACCUUACCAGGUCUUGACAUCCAACUAACGAACUAGAGAUAGAUUAGGUGCCCUUCGGGGAAAGUUGAGACAGGUGGUGCAUGGUUGUCGUCAGCUCGUGUCGUGAGAUGUUGGGUUAAGUCCCGCAACGAGCGCAACCCCUGCCAUUAGUUGCUACGCAAGAGCACUCUAAUGGGACCGCUACCGACAAGGUGGAGGAAGGUGGGGACGACGUCAAAUCAUCAUGCCCCUUAUGACCUGGGCUACACACGUAAUACAAUGGCCGUUAACAGAAGGAAGCGAAGGCGCGAGCCGGAGCAAACCCCCAAAAACGGUCUCAGUUCGGAUUGCAGGCUGCAACUCGCCUGCAUGAAGUCGGAAUUGCUAGUAAUCGCGGAUCAGCAUGCCGCGGUGAAUACGUUCCCGGGCCUUGCACACACCGCCCGUCA